rnacentral:rRNA from 1 species
GUGUCAGCAGCCGCGGUAAUACGGAGGGUCCAAGCGUUAUCCGGAAUCAUUGGGUUUAAAGGGUGCGCAGGCGGUAGCGUAAGUCAGUGGUGAAAGCCUACAGCUCAACUGUAGAACUGCCAUUGAUACUGCAUUACUUGAAUAUAGUUGAAGUAGGCGGAAUGUGUAGUGUAGCGGUGAAAUGCUUAGAUAUUACACAGAACACCGAUAGCGAAGGCAGCUUACUAAACUAAAAUUGACGCUCAUGCACGAAAGCGUGGGGAGCGAACAGGAUUAGAUACCCGCGUAGUCC